rnacentral:rRNA from 1 species
GACGAACGCUGGCGGCGUGCUUAACACAUGCAAGUCGAACGGAAAGGCCCUGCUUUUGUGGGGUGCUCGAGUGGCGAACGGGUGAGUAACACGUGAGUAACCUGCCCUUGACUUUCGGAUAACUUCAGGAAACUGGGGCUAAUACCGGAUAGGAGCUCCUGCUCCAUGGUGGGGGUUGGAAAGUUUCGGCGGUUGGGGCUGGACUCGCGGCUUAUCAGCUUGUUUGGGGGGUAGUGGCUUACCAAGGCUUUGACGGGUAGCCGGCCUGAGAGGGUGACCGGCGACAUUGGGACUGCGAUACGGCGCAGACGCCUACGGGACGCAGCAGUGGGGAAUAUUGCACAAUGGGCCGAAGCCUGAGGCAGCAACGCCGCGUGCGGGAUGACGGGCUUCGGGUUGUAAACAGCUUUCGCCUGUGACGAGGCGUGAGUGACGGUAAUGGGUAAAGAAGCACCGGCUAACUACGUG